UCAAUUUUUCAACUGUUAUUAACAUGAUUAAAAAUAUUGUUUGUAUACUGUGUUUAUCUAUGAGAUUAAUUUACUAUAGAAAUUCAGUUCAUCGAUCGUACUUUUUGUGUCAUUAUCGAGUUAUUAUACUGUUGAUUUUUUUCUUGAUCUUUUUGGCUCUAAGUGAUGGCGUCUGAUACUGAAAACGACAAUUGCGUCCCUCUGUUGAAGUCCGGUGAAAAUUUGUCGUACGGGUCAGGACCUGGAAAACAGGCGAGCCAUCUUUCUUUCAAAGGAGGAUUUGCACAAUAUGACGACGAGUUUACAGUAGAAGAACUGACAAACAAAAUUGGUGUCGGAAAAUGGCAAGUUCUCGCAGUUUGUUCAAUCAUUCUCGGUUUGCUCGCAGAAAAUGUUGCUAUUCAGAGCCAGCCCUUCUUAUCAACGAGGCUGUAUGUCGAAAUGGAUUUAACACCUGAGACUGAAGGCUUUCUAAGUGCUGCCAAUUUCGCUGGUUUCUCAAUUGGAAAUAUUGCAUGGGGUUUUGUUGCAGAUAGGUUUGGGCGAAAAGUUUACACAAUUAGCAUGUACUGGAUUUGUUAUUGUGUUUAACCUGCUUAUUUGUGUGGUUCCCAAUAUCUACUCAAUUAUUGUCUGCAGAAUAUUAGUGUCCCU